AACGAACGCUGGCGGCAGGCCUAACACAUGCAAGUCGAACGCCCCGCAAGGGGAGUGGCAGACGGGUGAGUAACGCGUGGGAACCUACCUUUCGGUGCGGAAUAACUCCGGGAAACCGGAGCUAAUACCGCAUACGCCCUAUGGGGGAAAGAUUUAUCGCCGAUAGAUGGGCCCGCGUCGGAUUAGCUAGUUGGUGAGGUAACGGCUCACCAAGGCGACGAUCCGUAGCUGGUCUGAGAGGAUGAUCAGCCACACUGGGACUGAGACACGGCCCAGACUCCUACGGGAGGCAGCAGUGGGGAAUAUUGGACAAUGGGCGCAAGCCUGAUCCAGCCAUGCCGCGUGAGUGAAGAAGGCCUUAGGGUUGUAAAGCUCUUUUAGUGGGGAAGAUAAUGACGGUACCCACAGAAUAAGCCCCGGCUAACUUCGUGCCAGCCGCCGCCGUAA
rnacentral:rRNA from 1 species